rnacentral:rRNA from 1 species
UGCGAAAGCGUGGGGAGCAAACAGGAUUAGAUACCUGGUAGUCACGCUGUAAACGAUGUCGAUUUGGAGGUUGUUCCCUUGAGGAGUGGCUUCCGGAGCUAACGCGUUAAAUCGACCGCUGAGGAGUACGGCCGCAAGGUUAAAACUCAAAUGAAUUGACGGGGGCCCGCACAAGCGGUGGAGCAUGUGGUUUAAUUCGAUGCAACGCGAAGAACCUUACCUACUCUUGACAUCCAGAGAAUUUAGCAGAGAUGCUUUAGUGCCUUCGGGAACUCUGAGACAGGUGCUGCAUGGCUGUCGUCAGCUCGUGUUGUGAAAUGUUGGGUUAAGUCCCGCAACGAGCGCAACCCUUAUCCUUUGUUGCCAGCACAUUAUGGUGGGAACUCAAAGGAGACUGCCGGUGAUAAACCGGAGGAAGGUGGGGAUGACGUCAAGUCAUCAUGGCCCUUACGAGUAGGGCUACACACGUGCUACAAUGGCGUAUACAAAGAGAAGCGACCUCGCGAGAGCAAGCGGAACUCAUAAAGUACGUCGUAGUCCGGAUUGGAGUCUGCAACUCGACUCCAUGAAGUCGGAAUCGCUAGUAAUCGUAGAUCAGAAUGCUACGGUGAAUACGUUCCCGGGCCUUGUACACACCGCCCGUCACACCAUGGGAGUGGGUUGCAAAAGAAGUAGGUAGCUUAACCUUCGGGAGGGCGCUUACCACUUUGUGAUUCAUGACUGGGGUGAAGUCGUAACAAGGUAACCA